rnacentral:rRNA from 1 species
GGGGGGCCUAUACAUGCAAGUCGAACGCUUCUUUCCUCCCGAGUGCUUGCACUCAAUUGGAAAGAGGAGUGGCGGACGGGUGAGUAACACGUGGGUAACCUACCCAUCAGAGGGGGAUAACACUUGGAAACAGGUGCUAAUACCGCAUAACAGUUUAUGCCGCAUGGCAUAAGAGUGAAAGGCGCUUUCGGGUGUCGCUGAUGGAUGGACCCGCGGUGCAUUAGCUAGUUGGUGAGGUAACGGCUCACCAAGGCCACGAUGCAUAGCCGACCUGAGAGGGUGAUCGGCCACACUGGGACUGAGACACGGCCCAGACUCCUACGGGAGGCAGCAGUAGGGAAUCUUCGGCAAUGGACGAAAGUCUGACCGAGCAACGCCGCGUGAGUGAAGAAGGUUUUCGGAUCGUAAAACUCUGUUGUUAGAGAAGAACAAGGACGUUAGUAACUGAACGUCCCCUGACGGUAUCUAACCAGAAAGCCACGGCUAACUACGUGCCAGCAGCCGCGGUAAUACGUAGGUGGCAAGCGUUGUCCGGAUUUAUUGGGCGUAAAGCGAGCGCAGGCGGUUUCUUAAGUCUGAUGUGAAAGCCCCCGGCUCAACCGGGGAGGGUCAUUGGAAACUGGGAGACUUGAGUGCAGAAGAGGAGAGUGGAAUUCCAUGUGUAGCGGUGAAAUGCGUACAUAUAUGGAGGAUCACCAGUGGCGAAGGCGGCUCUCUGGUCUGUAACUGACGCUGAGGCUCGAAAGCGUGGGGAGCCAACAGGAUUAAAUACCCUGGAUGCCCAAAAAA